GGUGUUUGAUUCCAGGGGUGUUUUGCCAUGGAGUGCAAAAAAAAAAAAGUUUGACAAAAGCCAGAUUAACUGUACCCAAAGACAUACACUGCUCAAAAAAAAUAAUAAAGGAAACACAAAAAUAGCACAUCCUAGAUCUGAAUGAAUAUUCUUCUGAAAUACUUUGUUCUUCACAUAAUUGAAUGUGCAGAUAACAAAAUCAAACAAAAAUUAAAAAAUGGAAAUCAAAUGUUUCAACCCAUGGAGGUCUGGAUUUGGAGUCACACUCAAAAUUAAAGUGGAAAAACACACUACAGGCUGAUCCAACUUUGAUGUAAUGUCCUUAAAACAAGUCAAAAUGA